GGAAAAGAAGCGGAGAGACUCUGUCCCAUACCGGAUGGGUUGCCGAAAUCGGCUGAGGAGAUGGAGGAAGAAGAAAGAGGAAGAAUGCCGGAUUCACCCUUCACUAGGCUCCUUAGAAUCAAGGGUACGCACCCUGCAUGGUACUCCCCCUCCCCUGACCAUGAAACUGAUUGACGGGGACUGAACGGGUAGGGACGGACGAAAAUGCACCGGAACAAUGGAUGGUUGAACGUGCGGUCUCUGGUAAAUAAUACAAAAGAACGAGGAUCCAACGGUUAAGGAUCCGGUGCAUGCUAGAAAAUCACGAAGCACCAAGCUCUUUUUAUUUUUUUGGAUCAAAUUAAACUACUAAGUUGGAUUUGUGUAUAUGUGUGUAUCAUUUUAUGCUUACUGGUUGAGGAAUGUGGUGAAA
rnacentral:lncRNA from 1 species